rnacentral:lncRNA from 1 species
CAGGGCGCCCCCUGCAGGGACGCACCCGGGGCGGGGGCCAGGCUGGGGCGAGCCCCCCUUGGUUCUGGAGAGGAAAUGACAUACAGUUUGUGAAAGCAUAAAUAUUCGUGAAAAUAAGAAAAUUCAGGAAGGAAACAAAGCUUAAGGCAGUGAUUGAUAGGUUAUUUCUUGGACACAGCUGAACGUAUACUGUGCGCCUGCAACUUUCCGGUGGUUUCGGACCGGACUUCAGUGAAGCCAGUGAAGUCGGUCGACUUGCAGAACUUCCUUUCAGAGGGGCGUACACAGCACCGCGGCCGUGUGCCUGUGAUCUCCUUCUGAGUUUGAAAAAGAAGAUCCUAGACACCGAGCCAAAUAUGUUUGCAUAAACCGGGAGACUUGUGGCUCUAUUUUGUAACAGCUUGGCGCAGGGCAGCUGGUUUGGAGAUGUCUCUGUUCUUCCCUUGGUGGGGGUGCCGGAAAAAAUGUGCUGCCUGGGCGAUCGAGGUUGGGGCAAAAGCGUUGCAAAGGAAAAGGUGGGAGGACUCUACUUUCACAUUUCCCAAAAGAGUUUUACCAUAAGACUAUUUCUGGAUUGUUCUAACGUGAGGAUAUUGGGAGCAUUUUGAAAAUACUGGAGGAAAAGCUGUCACUGGGCGAUUUAAAUCCGGUAACUGGAAAGUCCAAGAUCAGGGAGUCAGCAUCUGGUGAAGGCCUUCUUGCUGUGUCAUCCCAUGGUGGAACAUGGAAGGGUAAGAGAGCACACGCAAGAGACAGCAAGAGCCAAAGGGGGCCACACUCAUUUUUCCAUUAGGAGCUCACUCCCAACUCCACGAUAAUGAACCCACUCCCACAAUCAUAGCAUUAAUCCAUUCAUGUGGGUGAAGCCCUCAUGACCUAUUCACCUCUCAAAGGUCCCACCUCUUAACACUGUUUCACUGGGGAUUAAGUUUCCAACAUAUGAACUUUGGAGAACAUAUUUAAGCCAUAGUAUCCCUCCAGACCCUCCUCUCCACCCUCCUCUGCCAUGCUUGGUGUCCUGAAAUGCUGACCUUUAUGAAUUGCAUCAUCCAGUCUACUUUGCCCUAGCUUCUGGUCAGGUUCAGCCAACGAAAGGCACUGGAGGCAGGGGCUAGAGGAGAAUGAGAUCAGAGUAUUUAUAUCCUGCUCUCUCCCUGCAAUGAAUUGGUAUUCCCAUAACAAAUUGGUAUUCCCAUAACAAAGGCUGCAACUCUUAUCAAGUGGCCGAUAUUCUAAACACACCUGCCCUUGCCCCCCUCAGAUCCAGGAGAGGUAAAGGCUUCCUGCUGUUGCUAGCUCUGUCAUGCUUCACCACCCCUUAACCUUGCCCACAUCCCUGCAAGCGGUCCUUCACUACAUGCUCCUGAGACACCCAGUUUGAGAUGCUGUUUACUUCCUGAUGGAACCUUGACCACACAGACAUCAUUGCUAUUUCCAUCCUAGCACACGUCCUCAGGCCACUGCACCUCCCCCAGGCAUCAUCAAUAAUUCUUCAUGUCCUCUUGAAGCACAUGUGACAUGGCAUUCCUGCUGCACAGCCACCUGUGGCAACAAGGAAGGGAGCAGCUCUCCCUGCUCAGCAUCACUCUGUUAGAGGAUUCUAAGGGGAUGAACUGCUUGUGCUCCAAUGUCUUCUAGGGUUUUUAGUGAAAUGGCUCCUUCUGUUUUACCUUCAUGAGGCUGGAGGAGGAGUCCUGAGUGGGGAGGUGCUGAGUUGGAAGGAGCCAAGAGCCAUGCUCUAGCAGAGAGGGCACUGCCUUGGGUACAGGUGCUGGGCCUGGGAGCUGACUCUGCCACUAAAAGGCCAUGAGACCAUGGACAAGUCACUCUCAUUUUCAGGCCUCCAUUUCCUCACCUGUAUCACGGGGGCCGGACUCAGCGAUUCUCAAGCUGCUCUGGGCCCCCAGCCUUACUUCUGCCAUAGCAGCUCCUGUUUGGUCUAUUUUAGAAUGUGAGCUUUUGUGAAAAUUUCCUUUAAGGAAUGGGUUCCACUGCUUUAAAAACACUUGGAAACAACUGGACUAGAAGAUCUAAGGUCCCUUCCAGCCCCUACAUUUUUGAGCAUAAAACCAAUCUUGUUUUUUUCACCAUUGUGCCAAGGAAGCACUGGUUCCAAGAAUUAAUGGAAAAUAGAUGAUUAAAGGCCCAUCUCCUGCCAGGCUCGCUGCCAUGGCAAAUCUACCAUGACUGGGUAAAAGGUUUUGCUUCACAUCCAUCCUCAGCACCUUCUCACUUCCUUCUCACUUGCUUCUGCCACUAUUCCUAAGCAAGCUAAAGAAAGGGAAAUUUUAAAUCCAUUGCAUAAAAUGCAAACCAGCCUAGUAAACAAAAAUGUGGAAAAGAUGGCAAGGGAUAAAUCAUGUGCCUUUUCAGCCUUUAUAAACAGACCUUGGGAGCUUUACAAAGGCUUGACUUAUGGCAAUGGAAGCUGGCAGCCCUCCGUAGUUCAUUCCAGAUGUUUGGUGCUAGAGAGAAUUACAGGGCAGUGGUUAAUAGUUUGGGCUCUGCGGUCAGAAAGAUAUGAGUUCAAUUCCUUGUGCUUCCAUUCACUAACUGGGUGAUCUUGGUUAGAUGUGCUGGACUGUAAAAUCAUCAUCAUCACCAUAUCUAUUUUAUUGAGUUAUCAUGAGGACUGGGAGUGAGUUAAUACAUGUACAAUGUUUAGCACAGUGCCUAGCACAUAGAAAAUACCCAAUAAAUUAGCUCUUUGAUGUUAUUGUUGUUAGAAUUACUACUCCCAUUGGCUUCCAGGAAGCUCAGAGAUCAGAGCUCAGUUGAAUAUUCAACUAAAAAAAUCCUCCGGCUGGGCAUGGUGGUUCAUGCCUGUAAUCCCAGCAUUUUGGGAGGCCAAGGCAGGCAGAUCACCUGAGGUUGGGAGAUUGAGACCAUCCUAGCUAACACGGUGAAACCCUGUCUCUACUAAAAAUACAAAAAAUUAGCUGGGUGUGGUGGCACAUGCCUACAAUCCCAGCUACUUGGGAGGCUGAGGCAGGAGAAUUGGUUAAACCCAGGAGGCGGAGGUUGCGGUAAGCUGAGAUCGCGCCACUGCACUCCAGCCUGGGCAACAAGAGUGAAACUCCAUCUCAAAUAAAUCAAUAAUAAAAAAAAAAAACUUCUAGGUACCAUUUGCUUCCUUUCCAUGUCCAUUUAUGGCAUCUUUUAAGAUAGUUGUUAUUUAUCGAGUGCUUAUUUUUGCCAGGACUUACAGGCACUACCCUACACCUAGCACAGUGCUUAGGGUAUUGGAAAUAACUCAAUAAAUUGUGGCAGAAUAAAUGAAUGAUCUUAUCCAAUGCUCCCAGCAACUCUAAGAAGUAGAUAUCAUUAUCUCAAUUAUAGUAGACUUUUUUUGUUAUUAUUGUUGACAUCUGAGACUACUUCCUGAUUGUGGGGAAUCUGCCCUUGUGUGAGGGUCUCAUCUUGGAUGCUGAGAAAGUGAAAAACUCCCCUGGACCUCUGGUAGCAGGAACACAGAUAUACAAACCAAGUACAGCUAAUCAGAUCCUCACCUGGGACUUUUUUUAAAUUUUAGUUUUUAUUUAUUUAUUUAUUUUGAGACGGAAUCUCG